rnacentral:rRNA from 1 species
AGUGAACGCUGGCGGUAGGCCUAACACAUGCCAGUCGAACGGCAGCACAGUAAGAGCUUGCUCUUACGGGUGGCGAGUGGCGGACGGGUGAGGAAUACAUCGGAAUCUACUUUUUCGUGGGGGAUAACGUAGGUAAACUUACGCUAAUACCGCAUACGACCUACGGGUGAAAGCAGGGGAUCUUCGGACCUUGCGCGAUUGAAUGAGCCGAUGUCGGAUUAGCUAGUGGGCGGGGUAAAGGCCCACCAAGGCGACGAUCCGUAGCUGGUCUGAGAGGAUGAUCAGCCACACUGGAACUGAGACACGGUCCAGAAUCCUACGGGAGGAAGCAGUGGGGAAUAUUGGACAAUGGGCGCAAGCCUGAUCCAGCCAUACCGCGUGGGUGAAGAAGGCCUUCGGGUUGUAAAGCCCUUUUGUUGGGAAAGAAGAGCAGCAGGUUAAUACCCCGCUGUUCUGACGGUACCCAAAGAAUAAGCACCGGCUAACUUCGUG